AGGAUAUUAAUAACAAAUCCAUUUUAACUAUAAAUUUAAAUUUAGUGUUAGGAAUAACAAAAUCUGUUGAGAAAAAAUCUAACAAAAUCUUUUAAAAAUAUUUUUUUUAAUUAAUGCACUGAUUAAUUUUGUAAUUAGUAGUAUAAUGUUAUCCUAUAUAUUAAAAGUAGUGACUUCUCAAUAGGUGGCAAUCAUACAGAGAUUCUCAGAAAAAUUCUCUUAAUCCUAUUGGUUGAUUUUGAUAAUUUUUUUUUUUAAAUCAGCAGGAAAGAGUUAACCUAGAACUACUUAAUUUAGGUUUCCAAACACUCUCAAGAAAUAAAGACAAAACACUACGCUUUUCUCUUUUGUCGAUUAGAAGAACCAAAAGUUGGGAUUUUUUCAAGGUUUCCCUUUGAUCAUUUUAAUUGGAUUUGGGGAUUAAAUUGAUAUGGUGAAUCGAAGUCCGACCAGAACCAGAGGAGUUCGUCAGGUGGAUCGGUAAUAUCGGUUCUCGGAACAGUGAAUGAAGGUCGAUCGAAAUCAGAGAAAUCGGAGAAGUGCUUCCUUGAGAACCGGUGGACUUGAGAAAUGGUUCAUAUCAAAUAUGUAGGUAUGAAGAUGGAAGAUCAUGUCAUGUUCUUCGUUGUGCUCUUCUCUUUAUCUGUUCAGACGAUCGGUGGAAGAUUCAAAGCGCCCCCCCCCCCCCCCCCCCUUGUUGCAGCAGAGCAAUACUAAUGGAUUUGGUUUCAGCAAAUCGUUCAAUUCCAUUUACGAUACUUCUAUGUACGGUAGAUUGCAGCUCAACAAUGGCCUCGCUCGUAUUCCUCAAAUGGGAUGGAAUAGCUGGAACUUAUUUGCUUGCAAUAUCAAUGAAACUGUCAUUAAGAAACUGCUGAUGCUUUGGUCUCAUCUGGCCUGGCUGAUUUAGGAUACAUACAUGUCAAUAUUGGUACUGUUUGUCCCCUUUGAACCUGACUCGUCAUUACUUUUUAUCUAUAACUGAUUCAUGUUUCACAAGUUUUUGUUAUGUUGCAGAUGAUUGUUGGUCCAAUUUGUUACGUGAUUCAAAGGGACAAUUAGUUCCACAUCGUGAAACCUUCCCGCAAGGGAUUAAGCUUCUUGCUGAUUAUGUUCAUUCAAAGGGUCUCAAACUCGGUAUAUAUUCUGAUGCUGGGUAGGUUCAAGCUUCAUGCACUCUUGGAGGUGGUUUUUACUAUCAAUCGAUGCUAACAAUGCUGUGAAAGUAAUGUUGGAAGUUGGAGGACGAUACUUAUAAAGAUGGUUGUUUGAAAAUGAUGUGAUAGUACAUGGUGAUGGAGGACACAUGCAAGGCAAAAAGGCUGUGGUUUACCGGUGUUGUCAUUUUAUUACGAAAGUUAUUCGUUGCUUUUUUGCAUGCUUCUUGAUAUCACCAAGCAAAGUCAUUGUUUGUCUUAUGCAUUUGUAUAUUUUGUGUCUCAAAAAAUAAAAAUGAAAAUUAUUUUAUUCAUAUAUCCGAGAUUUCUUUCUUAUGGAAAUGCAUUCAAGUAUUUGAAUAACGACAUCCGAGAUUUCUUUCUUAAUAAAACCUAAUAAAAGUUAGAAAUUUACUUCACCACUACUCAUGUCCUUAUUCAUACGAAUAAGAAUAUUUUGUUGCUCAAACAAGAAAUUUACUUGACCUAGGUAUCUCAUAAGCUCUUAUAAAUAAAGUUUAUAUACUCGACAUUAUAUAGAUCAUAUUUCGCCAAAGAUGUUACAAUAUCCACUCUCUAUCUUCUGUAUUAUUAUGUUAUCACUAGGUUAUACAAAUCAAGUAUGAAGGUUGAUUUUUAUCUUUUCAAAACACAGUCUUCUUGAAGCAAUGGAAAGCAUGAAGAAAACAAUUUCUGAAAUUAUUGAAGCAAGAUCGGUAAAUAUUUUAUUUUUUUCAUUUUCCCAAUCGUUUUCAUUUUUUUAUCAUACUAAUUCAAAUAUGAUUUCACUACAAUUUUAAUCAAAAUAGGCUGGAACGUGUGUGGUUGUUGCUAAAAUUGAUGCUAUUGAUUUGGAAAAACCAUGGUAUUACACUGCCUGCAAUUUUUGCAAAAGAAAAAUGGUCAGACAAAGAGAUGGUUUUGAGGGAAACGUGCAACAUCUUCAACAGAACCCUCUAUACAACUGCAAAACAUGCAAAAAGGAUGUUCAACAUGCUAUUCAAUUGUAUGGCCUUUUAUAAACAUUAAUCUUGCUACCUUUCUAAUCUCAUAUUAUUAUAUGUUCUGAAACUAAUUAAAAUUGUUUAUUUUUUUAGUUACUACUUGGUUGUACAUAUCUAUGAUGAAUCAAAAGGAGAAGCCAGGUUUUUGCUUUUCAACAAUAUUGUAGAGAAGCUCAUUAGGAGACUUGCGUUUGAGUUAGUCCAAGAGGCUGCUCAGGAAAAUCCACAUUUUCUGCCUCAAUCUCUAACUGAUUUAAUUGGGAGGAAACUUCUAUUUAAGAUCACUAUCGGAGCUUAUGGUAAAAAAAAACAAAAUUCAGCAUAUGUUGUUGAUUUAGUGAUUGACGAUGCAGUCAUAAUUCAACACUUUGAUCCACAUGUAAGAUUUGUUUAUAGUUAUAACUCACAAUUAUUUAUUUUGUGCAGCCACAUGUUGUGAUUUUUAAUGAUUAUGAGUCGGAAGAUGACUGAGUAUUUAAGCGGUGAUGGUAAUCCAAAAGAAAGGAAGAAAGUUGAAGUCCAUUAUGCACAUGAAAGUGGAAGAUUUUAAGAAAUGAUUUGUUUUUAUUUUCUUCAAAUUUCAUUAUUUUUUCCAUUGUCUCUGUUUUUGGUUUUAUAGUUAUGAGCAUGAAUUAUUAGUUGUUAUUUGAUUCUUUUUUGUAAACAGCUCCUUUAAUCUAAUUUUGUUUCCACAUUAUAGCCAAUUUAUUCUUUAAAAUGUUAAAUUUGAAAACCAAUCACUAGAAGACAGUAUAGAAUUAUAUAUCUAAGGUGUUAAAAUAUGGUUAACCUUAUAUGUUAAACUUCCAAAAAAUUCAUAAUAAAUCAUGAAACAAUGUAAAAGAAGAUAUUAUAGAAUUAUAUUGUCAUAAAGUAUUUUCCAAUAAAUAUCAUAUUUACUUGCGCGAGGAAUACACAGUAACAUGGUAAGAUUUGAUAAGUAAAAUUUAUUUUGCAAGAAAGGAUUGUACGUAUAUUUUGAAGAUAUAAAAAAAUGUGCAAGUCAUGGAUCGAUCUCUAUUAUAUUUUGGUGAAGAGGUC